AUGCCACACUCAUCAACAUCUGAGUGCAACAGAAUGACAAAGCAGACAGGAUAAUACAUGAAAGCAUUUGGCGCAAGACAACAGCUGGGAUGCCUCAGUGUUGGUAAAUUAUUCGGCCCCCUGCAGACCAGCCACCUGCCAAGACUUCAGAAUGACUCGCACAUGUUGUCUGGGCGCAAAAACUAGCUGACCAUUUCCCCUGACCACCUGUUUCUGCCUGAGUCAUUCAAGCGCUGUCAGUCAAAACUAAAACAUUGCAUGCAAUAACCCCCACCAGCACCAUCCCAUUCACAUAACUGAUUUUGAUCUGGACACACAUGACUCUCUACAAAAGCAAGCUACCGAUUACAAGAGCUGAUUCCCACACACUUACAGAACAUCUGACAUCUGUUCUGAAAACACACACUCGUUUUCACACACUUACCCACGCAGCUGUCUCCCUGGGGCUCAUAACCUGAAGGGCACAGGUUGAAUGACUCGCUGGCCAUGUUCUCAAGGCUGGGAUGGACCUGGUUGGGUGGAUCAGGGGCGGGGAUGACCGAGGCAGAGCGAGGCAGGCACAGGUACCCGCCAUAGUGGUUGAAGCACUUCAUCUCUCCCUUACA